UUUGUCUGUUUGGCAGCCGGAUCCUAAUAACCGUGCUUGUUCCGAAUACUGUCUGUGCAGUUCAAAACUUCAAGUCAUGCAGAAGUUGUCUGACGGUGGCAGUUGCGAAAAGUGACUGAUAACCGUGAGAAAAGUCAAGUAGUACAGAAGAGCCAUAUGCACGUCCGGGGAAUGCAAGGACUUCCCCAAGGAUGAUGUCUCCGGAUUCCUGAAAAAGAUAAAGAUCCAAUCCAAGGAGCGAUGUUGCUGAGGUACUGACACAAUGGCAGUCAGAAAGGAACUGAGGGGAGAAGCACCUAACCACCAAAAUAAACAGAAGUGCACUAUGUGCAAGGGGCGGGGCUAGGUGCCAUUGCGAGUGAACAAAUUCUGUCUGAAUGGUCCUGUGCAGGCACAGAACCCAUUAUUAUGAAUGUAACAGAUCCAGAUCCAAGCUAUCUUAAAGUUCAUAGAUACAAAAUACAUUUUGAUCUAAUGAUGAAAGAGCUUCCAAAUUUUUAGCUAAUUAGAAAUGGACAUGUUACUGAAUAUAAGAAUGCAAGGCGCUGAAAGAAGAUAAAGUUGAGUGGGGAGCUUUUUGAAUUCAUUUAGCCAAUGCUUUAUACUAU